GACGAACGCUGGCGGCGUGCUUAACACAUGCAAGUCGAGCGGAGCGGCGGACGGGUGAGUAACGCGUGAGUAACCUGCCCCCCUCUCUGGGAUCACAGUUGGAAACGGCUGCUAAUACCGGAUAAAGGGGGAUGGGCUCGCGGCCUAUCAGCUUGUUGGGGGGGUGAUGGCCUACCACGGCGGUGACGGGUAGCCGGCCUGAGAGGGUGACCGGCCAGAUUGGGAAUGGUGUACGUCCCAGACUCCUACGGGAGGCAGCAGUGGGGGAGAUUGCACAAUGGGCGAAAGCCUGAUGGAGCGACGCCGCGUGGGGGAUGAAGGCUUGUGGGGUGUAAACCGCUGUCGCUAUCGAACGGGUAGGUGGAGAAGAAGCGCCGGCUAACUACGUGCCAGCAGCCGCGGUAAUUC
rnacentral:rRNA from 1 species